UUUGGGGUGACCCAUACAUUGAAGUAAGCCAGACUGCGUAAACUGUGCUGACGAACAGGAACUGAAUACAGAGGCUAUGAGGUUGGAUGAGUAGGCACAUCACUGCAAAGUCCAAGACCGUAUUUUCGGAUAACCAAAAUAGUAGAUUCAGCAGUUAUAGUUUAAAGGGUAUUUAU
rnacentral:ncRNA from 1 species